CUGGCUUAACUCAGUUGGUAGAGCGCUCCACUGGAAAUGGAGUGUUCCGUGGUUCGAUACAAGGACCAGG
rnacentral:tRNA from 1 species